AUUGAACGCUGGCGGCAGGCCUAACACAUGCAAGUCGAGCGAGCGGCGGACGGGUGAGUAAUGGCUGGGAAACUGCCUGAUGGAGGGGGAUAACUACUGGAAACGGUAGCUAAUACCGCAUACCAUCAGAUGUGCCCAGAUGGGAUUAGAUAGUAGGUGGGGUAACGGCGCACCUAGGCGACGAUCCCUAGCUGGUCUGAGAGGAUGACAAGCCACCCUGUACCUGAGACACGGUCCCGCCUCCUCCGGGAGGCAGCAGUGGGGAAUAUUGCACAAUGGGCGCAAGCCUGAUGCAGCCAUGCCGCUUGUAUGAAGAAGGCCUUCGGGUUGUAAAGUACUUUCAGCGGGGAGGCGUUACCCGCAGAAGAAGCACCGGCUAACUCCGUGCCAGCAGCCGCGGUAAUAC
rnacentral:rRNA from 1 species